UGCUGUCCCCCCUUCACCCCUUUUAUCUGUCCACACCACAGACAUACGCUCCCUCCAUUCGCUGAGCCGCUUAUGCCAAAAGCACACGUAGACAAACGGUCAGUGGCACUCACAGUCCCGCCUCGGGACAGUCGAAGAGUGCCAAAAAGUUUCCAACUUUCCGCUAGCGUGACAGCGGAGCAAGACCUCCAUUCGCUUGCACAGUUCGUUUCACCUUUAGCUUCCAACGUUUGAUUCCCAAGUUAGCUUCACCAUUAGCUUCAAUGUGAAGUUCCAAGGUUAGUUUCCAACAUUUAUCUCGAAUGUUAGCCCUAAGGAAGAUCACUGUUUGAUUCAAUUAGUUAGCUUCAUCAUUAUUUUCUAUCAUGAGAAGGUGUAAUUAGCUUCCAAAGUUACCUCCAAAAUUACAGUUAAAACUGUUAGCUUCCCAAGUUAGCUUCAAUAUUGGCUUUCAACGUCAACUUCCAAUUUAGGUGCCGAUGUUACUUCCCAGAGUUAGUGUCUAACAUUGUCUCAAACAUCGACUUCCAACGUUGGUCGCCUUUGUCUGCGUGUUGGAGCCGAACUCGAGUCUUCCAUCCCGCUGCCGUUCCCUGUCAAUCUGGUUGGCUAUCGGCUGUCGCGACUCCUCCGCAAACACGGAGCAGUUCAUUUGAUCGCAAAGAAAGAGCA